UGUGUGUUUUAGGCCGCUGACAGAAUCUGGCAUGCUUGAUUUGGUCAUUCCUGUACACAUAAAUUGCCUGCAAUAUACACACCUUCCCCUUCUUGAGAGAAAGCUGAACAUAGAGCAAAGACUGUGGAACACUCACGACUUCGCAAGCAAAGGAAUGUUCCAGGUCCAUUUGGGAAACCAGACCUUCUCUUUACUUCCCCACCCGAAGGCUUUGCUGAUAUGCUCUUCAAAGUAGACAACGACCUCCUGAAGUGUGCAGAACAGCUUGUUUGUGGAGUAGAUGAGCCUUUGUUGGUGGCAAAUGAGGAAUUCAGAAAAAUAUCAGAGGCUAUUCUGAAAAAAUACAAACUUCCCAUCAUCACCAGACGGGUCUUUGGCAGCUUACCUCAUGUUGGUGGAGGAGAAAUUCACCACAAUCCUUCAAACAAGAGAGCAAUCCAUCCACGUUUUGCAGAGGCAAAUCAAAUAUACCAGCUGCUGGCCAAUGAGACAGGGACUUUGUAACUGCUUAACAACAAAAUAAAUACAUAUAAAAGGACCAAAUGAUUAAAAAAGUGCUACAAAUGAAAAUGCAAAAACAUGUUUAAUGAGGUGAACAUGCAUUGAAAACACGUAGUAAAAAACAAACCAGCAGUGUUAGACAGCGAGAGAAGGCCUGCGUACUAUAAUGUUAACAUUUUAAACCAACAUUGGUAUUUGAAAAACUGAAAAUGACAAGAAAUGUACACUGUCCAUGUGAUGAUCCGUAACAUUUCCCAUUCGUAACUAUAACGGCUCUUUAAAUCUGGCCCCUCCACUGUUUUUUAGGGACAGCACCGCAGAGGAAGCUUCAGGUCUCAAAGCUGCAUCAUAGUGUAUACACUCACAAAAACAGCAUAUAGAUUAGAUUAGAUUCAACUUUAUUGUCACUGCACAUGUAAGGUACAAGGCAACGAAAUGCGGUUAGCAUCUAACCAGAAAGUGCAAUAAGCAGUAAGUACAGAAUAUACAA